AACGACUCUCGGCAACGGAUAUCUCGGCUCUCGCAUCGAUGAAGAACGUAGCAAAAUGCGAUACUUGGUGUGAAUUGCAGAAUCCCGUGAACCAUCGAGUCUUUGAACGCAAGUUGCGCCCGAAGCCAUUAGGCCGAGGGCAUGUGUGCCUGGGCGUCACG
rnacentral:rRNA from 1 species